UACAGAGGGUGCAAGCGUUAAUCGGAAUUACUGGGCGUAAAGCGUGCGUAGACGGUUGCGUAAGUCAGAUGUGAAAGCCCCGGGCUCAACCUGGGAAUUGCAUUUGAGACUGCGUAGCUAGGGUGCGGAAGAGGGAAGCGGAAUUUCCGGUGUAGCGGUGAAAUGCGUAGAUAUCGGAAGGAACACCAGUGGCGAAAGGGGCUUCCUGGUCCAGCACCGACGUUCAGGCACGAAAGCGUGGGGAGCAAACAGG
rnacentral:rRNA from 1 species